UACAGAGGUCCCAAGCGUUGUUCGGAUUCACUGGGCGUAAAGGGUGCGUAGGCGGUCAUUUAAGUCUGACGUGAAAUCUCCGGGCCUAACCCGGAAACUGCGUUGGAAACUAUCUGACUAGAGGAAUGGAGGGGAGACUGGAAUACUUGGUGUAGCAGUGAAAUGCGUAGAUAUUAAGUGGAACACCAGUGGCGAAGGCGAGUCUCUGGACAUUUCCUGACGCUGAGGCACGAAAGCCAGGGGAGCAAACGGG
rnacentral:rRNA from 1 species